CUCAGAGAUCUGCCCCAUUCUAUUAACUGGCUGUCUGCAAUCGCAGGAAAUGGAGGGCCUGUAAUUUGUUUAAUGAGUCCCGCAGGGGUGAUUUCCAGUUGCUUGCUGUUUUAAACCAUCUCGAAGUCAACAGGAUGGGACAUACAUCGUGGUGCCCAUACGCUAGCAUUUCCGUGACAUUCAGUGCUGGAAUUGACAUUUCUGAGUCAAAGGGCAGAUGCACUGAAAAUACUGAGCGAUGUCGCCCAAGUGCUUUGCACAGAGAACAGCCCGGAGCGUGAGUGCUGAUUUUCACUCCUGGGGAUACUCCUGCUCUCAAGAACAGAGCCCCCACCCACGCGGCCACCGUCCCCUGGCCAGUCACCGUAGCCUCGCGGACUUCAGUCAUUAGUUGCUGCUUUCCCUGAUGUUAUGAAAAAAAACCCGGAACGUUGGGCUCUCAGGACAGGAGCUGAUGUUCCAGCAGCAUCGUGGACUGAUUUCAUCGGGGCCCGGGGAAGACUGUGGAAAUGAGCACUGCAGGGAGGCUUCUCCAAUCCAUUGGGCAGAAAUGCUUUGAAGCUCUUUCCUUAAGACUGAGCUGCCACAAAAUGCCUGUCCUCAGCUGGUCCAGAACCCUUGGCAUCAUUGGGUUCCUCUUGGUGAAUCACCCAGAGAUUUGGCCUUGGCAUGCCCCUUCUGGAAGGAUCAUGGUGCGUCUCUCUUUUCACCUGCUGGGUCUUCUUCAAUGCAAACAGAACACAAAGAACCUUAAAGAGCUCUUUGAUGUCUCCUGUGGAUCUCACAGCACGCUGCACAGACACGGGACACUGUGAGUGUGGAAAACCCAUUCGAAGUGUCUACUCUCCUGGGGCAGCAGGAUAGAGAAC
rnacentral:lncRNA from 1 species